GCAAGGGGCGAUGGCACGACGCUGUCCUGAGCAGCCACGCCGCAACCGACACACCCACUUUUGCACCCCUGCCCAGCUCUCAGAUUCUGUAGGGCCCAUACCCCGAAGCGACGUCCAAGAACGGCCCGUUUGAAAUUUGAACACACGUUGAGCCACACACCCCUCUCCGUCUCUCUCACACACACACACUCGCUCUGUUGGUUUGGUUUCCUUCCAAUUUUUGCCCCCUCCUCUGCCCCCAUCAUAACCCUGUCUUUUCCUCGAGCCGAUGACCGUUGCCACCGCCGCCGAUGACGACGACGACGAGCGCGAGCAUCCCCGCACCCGUCGCCUGCUCCUCCACGCAUCGCCACUGCCUUCCCUGCACCCAACGCCGAGGAAGCGCCGCCGCAUCCGCCGCUGCCGUCGUCGCCCUCCUCCUCGCCACCUCCGCCUGGCUCUCCCUCGUCUUCUCCUCUCCCUCUAUCCGCCUCCACUGGGCCCACAUCCGGACCUCCGCCUCCCCCUUCCGCCGGGCCUCUCCUCCCCCGCUGCCCGGCCCCUCCACUCGAGUCCCUCCCCCUACUGGCCCUCCCAACCGCCUCCGCCCGCUCUCCCUCCGCCACCUCGUCUUCGGCAUCGGCGGCUCCGCUCACCUCUGGCCGCGCCGCCGCGAGUUCGUCCGACUCUGGUGGCGGCCCGGCGCCAUGCGUGGCCACGUCUGGCUCGACGACCGCGUGCCCCGCCCGCCCCGCAACUCCUCCCUCGCCCGAUCCCUCCCCCCCGUCCGCGUCUCCGAGGACAUCUCUCGGUUCCGAUACACCAACCCCACCGGCCACCCCUCCGGCCUCCGCAUCGCCCGCAUCCUCUCCGAGACCUUCCGACUCGGCCACCGCGGCUCCCGGUGGUUUGUGCUCGUGGACGACGACACCAUCGUCUGCCCUGAUAACCUCGUCGCCGUGCUCGCCAAGUACGAUUGGACCGAGAUGGCGUAUGUCGGGAGCCCAUCGGAAAGUCACUCCGCCAACACCUACUUCAGCCACGCGAUGGCAUUCGGGGGCGGGGGGAUCGCCAUCAGCUAUCCUCUUGCCGUAGCUCUCGCGGGGAUGAUGGACGAGUGCAUCGAGAGGUAUCCAAAGCUGUACGGCAGCGACGACCGGUUGCAUGCAUGCAUCUCCGAGCUCGGAGUGCCUCUAAGUCGCGAGUACGGUUUCCACCAGUGGGAUAUCAGGGGAAAUGCCCAUGGUCUUUUGGCUGCUCACCCUGUUGCUCCUUUCGUAUCAAUUCACCAUGUUGAAGCCGUUGACCCCAUCUACCCUGGCUUGAGCACUCUUGGAAGCCUGAAGCGUUUCACCAAGGCUAUGAAGGCUGAUCCUAUGAGUUUCUUGCAGCGGUCAAUUUGUUACGACAAGAGGAGGAAGCUUACAUUCUCAGUCUCUCUGGGUUACGUCGUCCAAGUGUUCCCAACCAUUGUCCUUCCACGAGAGCUGGAACGUUCUGAACAGACUUAUAUUGCUUGGAAUAAGCUUAACAACAGGAAUGAGUUUGAUUUUGACACAAGGGAUACCUACAGGUCUGUUUGCAAGAAGCCAGUUCUGUUUUUCUUGAGAGAUAUUGAAAGGGAUGGAAAUACAACGCUGGGUUCAUAUAGACGAGUUAAGGGGAGAGACAAUCUAAAAAAAAAAGUAUUCUGCUUUCCUCGAACACCUCCUCUACCUGACGUGAAUGAAAUCCAAGUCUUUGGUACUCCAUUGAGCGAAAAUUGGCACUUGGUGCCUAGAAGGUUAUGCUGUAAACUAAAUCAAAGACGUUAUGGGACUCUGAAAAUUGCAGUUGGGCAGUGUGAUCAUGGAGCUUCGGGGUCUGCUGCUGGUUCCCUUUGACUAUAAGGUGCAUUAAGUUGUAUAUCAUCUGACCAGAUGGUGAUUAUUGUGAGCAAAAAACUCUAUUUUCUCCAUGCUUCAACUUUUUUGUUUCAUGCUUGGAGAUGUUCCUCGGAAGAUGGAACGGUGGUGUUCUGAAAGAGACGAGCCGUGCUGCGCCAUUACGAGCCUGCAAAGCUGGUCCGCCGCUGUUGCUGCUGCUGCUGCAUGUGAAGGCCCGUUUCCGAACUCUGCCAAGGCUUCCGACGAUGAGCCACCCGUGCGGGAUCGCAAGUACCAAAAGGUAAGCUUAAUUGUGAUCCUACCACCUAACAUUUCCACCAAUUCAAUGAGGGCGAGAGAGAGAGAGAGAGCUCGCGUUGACGCCUCGCGUCGUCGCUGUCAUGCUCUCCCGCGCCCGGCCAUGGAGCCAUGCUCUGUGGGGCGUACGAGUCGUUGCCACUGCUCGCUCGGCUCGAGCUCUUCGUCCCUCCCCCCUUCUCCCCAUCUGCCCUCUUUAAUUUCCUCGUCAUCAAAGCCCUUUGACCGAGUGAUUGGCUCAGCUACAUGGACGGCGGCCGCGGACGUCGAUAGUAAUGCGAUGUCAGGCGCCGCCGUUCCGUGCCGGUCGUGCCAUUGUCUGUGGACCAAACCCAACCGGGUUCGUUUUGGUACUCGCACUAAGCAGUGUUUUUCCGUACAACAGAUGAGUACUCGAGUCAGGUGCGUCCAAAUUUGCACAGUGCCUGUCACUGAAAUGACAAUUCGGCACCCUUUUUUUAUUUAUAUUAAGAUAAUUAAUACGAGGGAGAUUGGAAAAUAACUGAAGUUUUUGAAUUUAAAUAGACGAUUUAUAUUAUAAGUACAUAAAAUUUAUAUUAUAAGUAGUUUGAUUGGUAUCAGAGUCAAGAGUCAAAAAAAAAAAAGUU